CCUACGGGGGGCAGCAGUGGGGAAUAUUGCACAAUGGGGGAAACCCUGAUGCAGCGACGCCGCGUGAGUGAAGAAGUAUUUCGGUAUGUAAAGCUCUAUCAGCAGGGAAGAAAAUGACGGUACCUGAUUCAGAAGCCCCGGCUAACUACGUGCCAGCAGCCGCGGUAAUACGUAGGGGGCAAGCGUUAUCCGGAUUUACUGGGUGUAAAGGGAGCGUAGACGGCAGCACAAGUCUGUAGUGAAAUGCCGGGGCUUAACCCCGGAACUGCUUUGGAAACUGUGCAGCUUGAGUGCAGGAGAGGUAAGUGGAAUGCCUAGUGUAGCGGUGAAAUGCGUAGAUAUUAGGAGGAACACCAGUGGCGAAGGCGGCUUACUGGACUGUAACUGACACUGAGGCUCGAAAGCGUGGGGAGCAAACAGGAUUAGAUACCCGGGUAGUC
rnacentral:rRNA from 1 species